rnacentral:lncRNA from 1 species
GGAAGGGUAAGAGCCUCUCACCGGGGACUGGAGGGAACAGUCUCCGUUUCAAUGGAAUAAAAACUGCGCAAUUUUCUAUUGAGGACUCCCUGCUCCGGAUUAAUGCUCCGCACCGUGAAGGCAACAUCUGACGCAGCGUUUGGUGGAUUAUUGAGGCCAUCCGUUGCUGGAUUUUUUUUAAAUUUAUUUGAUUUUUUUUUUUUUUUUUUGGGAGGAUUCACCAGCUUAUGUUUUGAACCCUGUGUUUUUCAGAGAGGGGGGGGGGAAGCAGGCGCUGUGAUGUGACUGUGCAGGGAUGCACGCAGUUUUAUCCGUCAUGCCUUGCUCAUGGGUGUCCAUGGGCGAUCCGUGCGCUGUCCCUGAACGCGUCGUGGAUGUUGAAUGGGGUUUUCAUUUUUUGGAAGGGGCUGCGUCAGAGGUGGACUACUGUGCACAUUUUCCACGGCGCAUCCCCGGCUGCACGUUUAGGGAUCGGAUUGGAAAAGAGAGAGAAGCAGUGAGGAACAUGGCGAAGUGUGACCGUGCCAUGUUUGAAGAACCUCCAGCCCCUGACUGACGUGAAGUGGCCCCGUUCCAUCCUGCAGACAUGCACAGACACAGUCAAACAUCAUCAAACAUCAGUCUGUCAAAGAUUGGCUUCGAAUGAUCGGAAAUCCACUGUCACAGGUAAGAUGUGUGCAAAUUUCAAUGCUUGACCUAAAAGCAGGUUUCAGUAGUUUUUACUGCAGGUGAGCUCGAUGGGGUUGUAUGCAUGUUCUCCGCAGGCUUUCUGCAUCUCCUGAUGAAUCAGAUGAUUUCAAACAGUGUUUCUCAGCUGGUUCGGCUUAACAAGGAGCCUUCUUUACCCUCACUGGCAUUGACCCUCAGAAUGUAUCCAUUGAAAAGUUGGAGCAGUUUCACACUAAUAGGAAAGAGAAAUAUUUCAUUUUACAGUACACUCAUGCAUUUUACUUUAUAAUACAAUAACCAAAAUACAAAUUCGAGGGGUGUAAUUUGGU